CAGUCGCCGCGGUAAUACGGAGGGUGCAAGCGUUAAUCGGAAUUACUGGGCGUAAAGCGCACGCAGGCGGUCUGACAAGUCGGAUGUGAAAUCCCUGAGCUUAACUUAGGAAUUGCAUUCGAUACUGGGAAGCUAGAGUAUGGGAGAGGAUGGUAGAAUUCCAGGUGUAGCGGUGAAAUGCGUAGAGAUCUGGAGGAAUACCGAUGGCGAAGGCAGCCAUCUGGCCUAAUACUGACGCUGAGGUACGAAAGCAUGGGGAGCAAACAGGAUUAGAUACCCCGGUAGUCCCUGUCUCUUAUAA
rnacentral:rRNA from 1 species